UUUUAAUUCUUUAAUUGGAAAAACUUUAAAAACCCCUCAUGUGAUUUCGUAGUUUCUUACUUUACCCUCUUGUGAUUUAAAAUGUAUCAAUUUGCCCUCAUGUUGUUUCGUUUUUAUCUUUUUGGUAGCUUUUUCAUUAAUAUUUUAUUAAAUUAUAUACAAAAAACUUCAGAUAUCCAUCUAGAUUUAUCAAAUAUUCACUUUAGUGCUCUUUAAUUUUAACUUAUCACUGAUUUAAGAAAAAAAAAUAAUAAAAUUGAUAAGAAAAAGAGAAAAAAGAAAUCACAUGGAGACAAAUUGAUACAUUUUAAACCACAGGGAGGUAAAGUGAGAAACUACGAAACCACAUGGGGGUUUUUGAAGUAUUCCCUUCUUAAUUUAAGCAAUUGUUCCUUUCAUAUAUAUACAUCUACAACUUAGUCAUAGUAUCAAUGAAGGAACCUGGCUAUAGUAUUUGUAAAACACAAAAUACUUGGUGCUUAUAAUUUAUCGUCAUUAGAUCUAUUUCUUUAAUCAUUUUCAUCUGUUAGAUCAUAUUAUUCAAUCAACCACCCACUUAAUCUUAUGUAACGCCUCAAUAGUCCCACAUCGGAUGAAAAACUAAUUCUGAUUAAAAUAUAUGAGACCUACACGCUAGUAAUAAUAAUCAGGUUUAAGCAUUUUGUGUUGGUGGUUUGAGACCAACAAAUUAUUAUUACCGGCGGGUCGGAUUCUUAUAAUUGAUAUCAGCCGACUACCAGCCAAAAAUACGUGAGCUAAAUACUAUACAGGGCAAAAUGCUGCCCCAAUGGGCUAAUUAUAAUAAUUAGAUUUAAACAUUUUGGGCUCGACGAAUUAUUGUUACUGACAGGUCGGAUAGGAUAUCACUAUUAUUCUAAUCGUACAUUACUUAAUUUAAGAACGCACCAAUGACUCCUUACAUUUAAAAGUAUAGAAGUUUAAUUCUUAAUAAAAUUUUAUUUAUUUUAGUUUAUUUUAAAUAAAAU
rnacentral:lncRNA from 1 species